rnacentral:rRNA from 1 species
UAACCGUGGUAAUUCUAGAGCUAAUACAUGGCUAAAAACCUCGACUUCGGAAGGGGUGUAUUUAUUAGAUAAAAAACCAAUGCCCUUCGGGGCUCCUUGGUGAAUCAUAAUAACUUAACGAAUCGCAUGGCCUUGCGCCGGCGAUGGUUCAUUCAAAUUUCUGCCCUAUCCAACUUUCGAUGGUAGGAUAGUGGCCUACCAUGGUAUCAACGGGUAACGGGGAAUUAGGGUUCGACUCCGGAGAGGGAGCCUGAGAAACGGCUACCACAUCCAAGGAAGGCAGCAGGCGCGCAAAUUACCCAAUCCCGACACGGGGAGGUAGUGACAAUAAAUACUGAUACAGGGCUCUUUUGGGUCUUGUAAUUGGAAUGAGUACAAUUUAAAUCCCUUAACGAGGAACAAUUGGAGGGCAAGUCUGGUGCCAGCAGCCGCGGUAAUUCCAGCUCCAAUAGCGUAUAUUAAAGUUGUUGCAGUUAAAAAGCUCGUAGUUGAACCUUGGGCCUGGCUGGCCGGUCCGCCUCACCGCGUGUACUGGUCCGGCCGGGCCUUUCCUUCUGGGGAACCUCAUGCCCUUCACUGGGCGUGUUGGGGAACCAGGACUUUUACUUUGAAAAAAUUAGAGUGUUCAAAGCAGGCCUUUGCUCGAAUACAUUAGCAUGGAAUAAUAGAAUAGGACGUGUGGUUCUAUUUUGUUGGUUUCUAGGACCGCCGUAAUGAUUAAUAGGGAUAGUCGGGGGCAUCAGUAUUCAAUCGUCAGAGGUGAAAUUCUUGGAUUGAUUGAAGACUAACUACUGCGAAAGCAUUUGCCAAGGAUGUUUUCAUUAAUCAGUGAACGAAAGUUAGGGGAUCGAAGACGAUCAGAUACCGUCGUAGUCUUAACCAUAAACUAUGCCGACUA